rnacentral:rRNA from 1 species
UCAAAUAAGGAAAGGCUUACAAUGGAUACCUAGGCACCUAGAGAUGAGGAAGAGCGUAAUAAACGAUGAAAUGAUUCGAGGAGUUGAAAAUAAGCGUAGAUCCAGAGAUUCCUGAAUAGGUCAACCUUUUGAAUUACUAUUGAAUCCAUGGGUAGGCAAGAGACAACCUGGAGAACUGAAACAUCUUAGUAGCUAGAGGAAAAGAAAGCAAAACGAUUCCCGGAGUAGCGGCGAGCGAAAUGGGAGCAGCCUAAACCAUGAAAAUGGGGUUGUGGGAGAGCAAUACAAAUGUCAUGCUGCUAGGUGAAGCGGUGGAGUGCUAUACCCUAGAUGGAGAGAGUCCAGUAGCCGAAAGUAUCACUAGCUUAUGCUCUAACCCAAGUAGCAUGGGACACGUGGAAUCUCGUGUGACUCGGCAAGGACCACCUUGCAAGGCUAAAUACUCUUGGGUGACAGAUAGUGAGGUAGUACCAUGAGGGAAGGGUGAAAAGAAUCCCCAUCGAGGAGUGAAAAUAGAACAUGAAACCGUAAGCUCCCAAGUAGUGAGAGGAGACCAGGGCUCUGACCGCGUGCCUAUUGAAGAAUGAGCCGGUGACUUAUAGGCAGUGGCUUGGUUAAGGGAACCCACCGGAGCGGUAAGGAAAGUGAGUCUUCAUAGGGCAAUUGUCACUACUUAUGGACCGGAACCUGGUUGAUCUAUCUAUCACCAAGAUGAAGCUUGGGUGAAACUAAGUGGAGGUCAGAACCGACUGAUGUUGAAGAACCAAUGGAUGAGUUGUGGUUAGGGGUGAAAUACCAUUCGAACAUAGACCUAGCUGGUUCUCCUCGAAAUGGGUUAACGCAUAGCAGUUGACUGGGCAUCUAGAGGUAAAGCACUGUUUCAGUGUGGGCUGCGAGAGUGGUACCAAAUUGAAGCAAACUCUGAAUACUAGAUAUGACCUUAACAUAACAGGGGUCAAGGUCGGCCAGUGAGAUGAUGGGGGAUAAGCUUCAUCGUCGAGAGGGAAACAACAUGGAUCACCAGCUAAGGCCCCUAAAUGACCGCUUAGUGAUAAAGGAGGUAGGGGUGCAGAGACAGCCAGGAGGUUUGCCUAGAAGCAACCACCCGUGAAAGAGUGUGUAAUAGCUUACUAAUCGAGUGCUCUUUCAUCGAAGAUGAACUGGGCUAAGCGAUCUAUCGAAGCUAUAAGAUGUAAAAAUGCAUCGGUAAGGGAAUGUUCUGCCUAGAGGGAAGCACCCACGUGAGCUGUGGUAGAUAAAGCGGAAGUGAGAAUGUUGACUUGAGUAACGCAAAUAUUUGCAAGGUUCAUCCAUAGAGGGUGAGUCAGGGCCUAAGAUCAGGCCCAAAGGCAUAGUCGAGGACAACAGGUGAAUAUUCCUGUACUACCCCUUGUUGGUCCCAAAGGACGGAGGAGUCUAGGUUAGCCAAAAGAUGGUUAUCGGUUCAAGGAUGCACGGUGCUCCUACUUUUUUAGGGUAAAAAGGGGUAUAGAAAAUGCCCUAGGCUAAUGUUCGAGUACCAGGUGCUAUGGCGCUGAAGUCACCCAUGCCAUACUCCCAGAAAAUGGGUGCCUCCUCACAAAGGGGGUUGCAGUGACCAGUCCCGGCGAUUGUUUACCAAAAACACAGGUCUCCGUAAAGUUGUAUGACCAUGUAUGGGGGAUGAUGCCUGCCCAGUGUCGGAAGGUCAAGGAAGUUGGUGACCUGAUGAUAGGGGAGCCGGCGACCGAAGCCUCGGUGAAUGGUGGCCGUAACUAACGGUCCUAAGGUAGUGAAAUUCCUUGUCAGGUAAGUUCUGACCCGCAUGAAAGGUGUAACGAUCUAGGCAUUGUCUCAGAGAGAGGCUCGGUGAAAUAGACAUGUCUGUGAAGAUACAGACUACCUGUACCUAGACAGAAAGACCCUAUGAAGCUUCACUAUUCCCUGGGAUUGGCUUUGGGCCUUUCCUGCAUAGCUUAGGUGGAGGGCAAAGAAUGCCUCCUUCCGAGGGGGCCCGAGCCAUUAGUGAGAUACCACUCUAGAAGAGCUAGAAUUCUAACCUUGUGUCAGGACCUACGGGCCAAAAGACAGUCUCAGGUAGAAAGUUUCUAUGGGCUAUAGGCCUCCUAAAAGAUAAUGGAAGUGUGAAAAGGUUUCCUCAGGCCAGACAGAGAUUAGCCCUCGAGUGUAAAGGUAGAAAGGAGCUUGACUACAAGACCAAACCAUCAAGCAAGGAUGAAAGUCAACCUUAAUGAUCUAAUGGUGCCGAGUGGAAGGGCCGUCGCUUAAUGGAUUAAAGGUACUCUAGAGAUAAUAGGCUGAUCUUCCCUAAGAGCUCACAUCGACGGGAAAGUUUGGCACCUCAAUGUUGGCUCUUCGCCACCUGGGGUUGUAGUAUGUUCCAAGGGUUGGACUAUUCGCCCAUUAAAGCGGUAUGUGAGCUGGGUUCGGAACGUCAUGAGACAGUUUGAUCCAUAUUCGAUGUGGGCGUCAGAGCAUUGAGAGGACCUUUCCCUAGUAUGAGAGGACCUCUAGUUUACUAGUUAUCGUGCCCAUGGUAAACACUGGCUAGCCAAGUGCGGAGCGGAUAACUGCUGAAAGCAUCUAAGUAGUAAGCCCACCCCAAGAUGAUUGUUAUCCUAUUCUGCCUAUUCGACUUCCCUAAAGCUUCCGGUAGCACAAGCAAGACAGCGAUGGGUUUUCUGCCCUUGCGGGGGUGGAGCGACAGAAGUUUUAAGAAUUUAAGAGAAGGUCAUGGAGAGACAAGCCGUUUAUCAUUACGAUGGGUGUCAAGUGGAAAUGUAGUGAUGUAUGCAGCUGAGGCAUCCUACCAGACCGGUAGACUUAAACCU